GCAGUUUUGUUUUUAUUUUUUGUUUUUUGUUUGUUUUUGCUUUUUUUGUCCUUGUUCUUUUGACAGAGUCUCUCUGUGUAACUCUGACUGUUCUGUAACAGAUCUGUAGCCCAGGGUAACCUCAAACUCACAAGAGAUCUACCUGCCUCUGCCUGGCAUCACCACCACUGGCUGCAUCUUGCUUUCUUAAGGUCCUUACACAUUAUAGCUGGAGUUUUUCUCCAUUAAUAAACAACAAUUGCAUUAAAAAUUAGCAAGAGUGCAGGUGUGGAGAGGUGCUCAGUGGUUCGAGCAUUGACUGCUCUUUUAGAGGCUCUGGCUUUAAUUGUCCGCACCCACGUGAUAGCUCACAGCCUUCUCUAAUCGUAGUACUGUGGGAUCCAGUGCCCCUUUCUAGUGUCAGAUGUACAUGUAGACAAAACACCCAUAUACAUACAAUAUAGAAAUAAGUCCUAAAAAUUAGCACAAUUCCGCUUAUUCAAGAACACACUAGGGUCUGGGGAUUUAGCUCAGUGGUAGAGUGCUUACCUAGGAAGCGCAAGGCCCUGGGUUCGGUCCCCAGCUCCGAAAAAAAGAACCAAAAAAAAAAAAAAAAAAAAAAAGAACACACUAACAUUCAAACUCAGUGGAAAAGACCCAGAGAGAGAGAGACGGGUCGGCUGGAUUUUCCUGAAGUGACUGUCCCUGUCACUCCAUGCUGUUUUUUGUUGGCCUGUGAGAUCAGCUUUUCAAACCAUUCCCUGAAAGCACCUCGCUCUCUGUGCUGGGCUUGGCCAGAUUAUGUAGUUGCAUGGCUCCCGCCCCUUGUUUGCAAGUGUGUUGAAGUCACCCGUGAGGACUGGUGACUGUGAACUGUAGGGACUUGAGUGUCUUGCUCUCAAAGCUGCCCUUUACAGUCAGGUGCCGAUGACUGUGUUUUAUCAAAACCAGCAUAUGGUAAUACUGCUGUACAUCGAGUGCGGGGGGCCAAAGACGGGCUUUCCUUCUGUUGAGUCCUGUUAACACGGGUAUUUUUUACAUCUCCUUGUUGGUGUUUUCUGAUUUAGUAGGAUUCUGGAGAGAGGAAAGCUGAGGUCUGUGUGAUCUCAGUAUGGGAUACCAGUGUUACUGUUAGUCUGUCGGCCGAGGUAAGCCUGCAGGCCCCAGUGCCCAAACAACCCUCUUCUUCAUGCCAGAUCUGAAGUCUUACAGAGCAUAACCUACUUUCUUCCUCCUGUGCACACU
rnacentral:lncRNA from 1 species